rnacentral:rRNA from 1 species
UACGUAGGGGGCAAGCGUUGUCCGGAUUUAUUGGGCGUAAAGAGCGUGUAGGCGGUCAGGUAGGUCCGUUGUGAAAACUCGAGGCUCAACCUCGAGACGCCGAUGGAAACCAUCUGACUAGAGUCCGGAAGAGGAGAGUGGAAUUCCUGGUGUAGCGGUGAAAUGCGCAGAUAUCAGGAAGAACACCAAUGGCGAAGGCAGCUCGCAGGGACGGUACUGACGCUGAGACGCGAAAGCGUGGGGAGCAAACAGG